rnacentral:rRNA from 1 species
AGUGAACGCUGGCGGUAGGCCUAACACAUGCAAGUCGAACGAAAGCACAGUAAGAGUUCGCUCUUACGGGUGGCGAGUGGCGGACGGGUGAGGAAUACAUCGGCAUCUAAUUUUUCGUGGGGGAUAACGUAGGGAAACUUACGCUAAUACAGCAUACGACCUACGGGUGAAAGCAGGAGUUCUUCGGACCUUUCCCGUUUCUUUGAGACGGUGUCGGAUUAGCUAGUUGGCGGGGUAAAGGCACACCAAGGCGACGCUCCGUAGCCGGUCUGAGAGGAUGAUCAGCCACACUGGAACUGAGACACGGUCCAGACUCCUACGGGAGGCAGCAGUGGGGAAUAUUGGGCAAUGGGCGCAAGCCUGACCCAGCCAUACCGCGUGAGUGAAGAAGGCCUUCGGGUUGUAAAGCCCUUUUGUUGGGAAAGAAAAGCAGCAUAUUAAUCCCCCGCUGUUCUGACGGUACCCAAAGAAUAAGCACCGGCUAACUUCGUG